rnacentral:rRNA from 1 species
AUUGAACGCUGGCGGAAUGCUUUACACAUGCAAGUCGAACGGCAGCACGGGUGCUUGCACCUGGUGGCGAGUGGCGAACGGGUGAGUAACAUAUCGGAACGUAUCCAAUAAUGGGGGAUAACUAAUCGAAAGGUUGGCUAAUACCGCAUACGCCCUACGGGGGAAAGCUAGGGACCUUCGGGCCUGGCGUUAAUGGAGCGGCCGAUAUCUGAUUAGCUAGUUGGUGGGGUAAGAGCCCACCAAGGCGACGAUCAGUAGCUGGUCUGAGAGGACGACCAGCCAGACUGGAACUGAGACACGGUCCAGACUCCUACGGGAGGCAGCAGUGGGGAAUUUUGGACAAUGGGCGCAAGCCUGAUCCAGCCAUUCCGCGUGAGUGAAGAAGGCCUUCGGGUUGUAAAGCUCUUUCGCAAGGGAAGAAAACUUAUCCUCUAACAUAGGGUGAAGUUGACGGUACCUUGAUAAGAAGCACCGGCCAACUACGUGCCAGCAGCCGCGGUAACAC